rnacentral:misc_RNA from 1 species
CCGAGUGAGGGCCCUCUGGGUCCAACCUCCCACCUGUGUUUAUUUUACCUUGUUGCUUCGGCGAGCCUGCCUUUUGGCUGCCGGGGGACAUCUGUCCCCGGGUCCGCGCUCGCCGAAGACACCUUAGAACUCUGUCUGAAGAUUGUAGUCUGAGAUUAAAUAUAAAUUAUUUAAAG